ACGAACGCUGGCGGCGUGCUUAACACAUGCAAGUCGAACGGAAAGGCCCUGCUUUUGUGGGGUGCUCGAGUGGCGAACGGGUGAGUAACACGUGAGUAACCUGCCCUUGACUUUGGGAUAACUUCAGGAAACUGGGGCUAAUACCGGAUAGGAGCUCCUGCUGCAUGGUGGGGGUUGGAAAGUUUCGGCGGUUGGGGAUGGACUCGCGGCUUAUCAGCUUGUUGGUGGGGUAGUGGCUUACCAAGGCUUUGACGGGUAGCCGGCCUGAGAGGGUGACCGGCCACAUUGGGACUGAGAUACGGCCCAGACUCCUACGGGAGGCAGCAAUGGGGAAUAUUGCACAAUGGGCGGAAGCCUGAUGCAGCAACGCCGCGUGCGGGAUGACGGCCUUCGGGUUGUAAACCGCUUUCGCCUGUGACGAAGCGUGAGUGACGGUAAUGGGGAAAGAAGCACCGGCUAACUACGU
rnacentral:rRNA from 1 species